rnacentral:tRNA from 1 species
AAAGACAUAGUAUAAUGGAGUAUUAUUCACUUACAUUGAAUAGGUGGUUGUUAGACCUGUUUUUA